GCAAAACAAAUAUUAAAGGUAAUGCCUGCCCAGUGAAAAAAAAUUUCAACGGCCGCGGUACCCUAACCGUGCAAAGGUAGCGUAAUCAUUUGUCUACUAAUUAUAGACCUGUAUGAAAGGCCACAUGAGAGUUUAACUGUCUCUUACAACCGGCUUAUGAAACUGAUCUCCUAGUUCAAAAGCUAGGAUAAGAAUAUAAGACGAGAAGACCCUGUGAAGCUUUAAAAACCCCACCACCCCAACCCUGGUGGGUAUUUUUAGUUGGGGCAACUUCGGAGAAACAAAACCUCCAAAAGGUUUAUAAACCCUACAAGACCCACAAGUCAACCACGACCCAGUAAGACUGAAAAGUGAACCAAGUUACUCCAGGGAUAACAGCGCAAUCUUCUUCAAGAGCCCAUAUCAAAAAGAAGGUUUACGACCUCGAUGUUGGAUCAGGACACCCAAAUGGCGCAGCCGCUAUUAAAGGCUCGUUUGUUCAACGAUUAACAG
rnacentral:rRNA from 1 species